rnacentral:rRNA from 1 species
CCUACGGGGGGCAGCAGUGGGGGAUAUUGCACAAUGGGGGAAACCCUGAUGCAGCGACGCCGCGUGGGCGAAGAAGUAUUUCGGUAUGUAACGCCCUAUCAGCAGGGAAGAAGAAAUGACGGUACCUGAGUAAGAAGCACCGGCUAAAUACGUGCCAGCAGCCGCGGUAAUACGUAUGGUGCAAGCUUUAUCCGGAUUUACUGGGUGGAAAGGGAGCGCAGGCGGCACGGCAAGCCUGAUGUUAAAGCCCGCGGCGCAACCGCGGGACUGAAUUGGGAACUACCGGGCUGGAGGGCCGGAGAGGUAGGCGGAAUUCCGAGUGUAGCGGGGAAAGGCGUAGAUAUUAGGAGGAACACCAGUGGCGAAGGCGGCCUACUGGACGGUGACUGACGCUGAGGCUCGAAAGCGUGGGGAGCAAACAGGAGUAGAUACCCCAGUAGUC